CCUGGGGUAGAGGUGAAAUUCUGUAAUCCUAGGGGGACCACCAGUGGCGAAGGCGUCUAGCUAGAACGGGUCUGACGGUGAGGGACGAAGCCCUGGGGCGCGAACCGGAUUAGAUACCCGGGUAGUCCAGGGUGUAAACGCUGCUUGCUUGAUGUUAGUUGGGCUCCGAGCCCAACUAGUGUCGGAGAGAAGUUGUUAAGCAAGCUGCCUGGGAAGUACGGUCGCAAGGCUGAAACUUAAAGGAAUUGGCGGGGGAGCACAGCAACGGGUGGAGCGUGCGGUUUAAUUGGAUUCAACGCCGGAAAACUCACCGGAGGCGACGGUUACAUGAAGGCCAGGCUGAUGACCUUGCUUGAUUUUCCGAGAGGUGGUGCAUGGCCGCCGUCAGUUCGUACCGUAAGGCGUUCUGUUAAGUCAGACAACGAACGAGACCCUCAUCUUUAAUUGCUACUGGUAAGUCCGCUUACUGGGCACAUUAGAGAAACCGCUGGCGAUAAGUCAGAGGAAGGCGAGGGCAACGGUAGGUCAGUAUGCCCUGAAUCCUCCGGGCUACACGCGCGCUACAAAGGCCAGGACAAUGGGCUUCGACACCGAGAGGUGAAGAUAAUCUCGAAACCUGGUCAUAGUUCGGAUCGAGGGUUGAAACUCACCCUCGUGAAGCUGGAAUCCGUAGUAAUCGCGGAUCAAAAUCCCGCGGUGAAUAUGCCCCUGCUCCUUGCACACACCGCCCGUCAAACCAUGCGAGUUGGGUUUGAGUGAGGAUGUAGUUUUUGCUGCGUUCAAACUUAGGCUUAGUAAGCGGGGUUAAGUCGUAACAAGGUAUCCGUA
rnacentral:rRNA from 1 species